GUUCUAACGAACAGUGGUAGGAGAGCGUUCUAAGUGCUGUGAAGUCAGACCGGAAGGACUGGUGGAGCGCUUAGAAGUGAGAAUGCCGGUAUGAGUAGCGAAAGACGGGUGAGAAUCCCGUCCACCGAAUGCCUAAGGUUUCCUGAGGAAGGCUCGUCCGCUCAGGGUUAGUCGGGACCUAAGCCGAGGCCGAAAGGCGUAGGCGAUGGACAACAGGUUGAUAUUCCUGUACCACCUCCUCACCAUUUGAGCAAUGGGGGGACGCAGGAGGAUAGGGUAAGCGCGGUAUUGGAUAUCCGCGUCCAAGCAGUUAGGCUGGGAAAUAGGCAAAUCCGUUUCCCGUGAAGGCUGAGCUGUGAUGGCGAGCGAAAUUUAGUAGCGAAGUUCCUGAUUCCACACUGCCAAGAAAAGCCUCUAGCGAGGUGAGAGGUGCCCGUACCGCAAACCGACACAGGUAGGCGAGGAGAGAAUCCUAAGGUGAUCGAGAGAACUCUCGUUAAGGAACUCGGCAAAAUGACCCCGUAACUUCGGGAGAAGGGGUGCUUCUUAGGGUGUUAAAGCCCCGAGAAGCCGCAGUGAAUAGGCCCAGGCGACUGUUUAGCAAAAACACAGGUCUCUGCGAAGCCGUAAGGCGAAGUAUAGGGGCUGACGCCUGCCCGGUGCUGGAAGGUUAAGAGGAGCGCUUAGCGUAAGCGAAGGUGCGAAUUGAAGCCCCAGUAAACGGCGGCCGUAACUAUAACGGUCCUAAGGUAGCGAAAUUCCUUGUCGGGUAAGUUCCGACCCGCACGAAAGGCGCAACGAUCUGGGCACUGUCUCAACGAGAGACUCGGUGAAAUUAUAGUACCUGUGAAGAUGCAGGUUACCCGCGACAGGACGGAAAGACCCCGUGGAGCUUUACUGCAGCCUGAUAUUGAAUGUUGGUACAGCUUGUACAGGAUAGGUAGGAGCCUUGGAAACCGGAGCGCUAGCUUCGGUGGAGGCAUCGGUGGGAUACUACCCUGGCUGUAUUGACCUUCUAACCCGCUGCCCUUAUCGGGCAGGGAGACAGUGUCAGGUGGGCAGUUUGACUGGGGCGGUCGCCUCCUAAAAUGUAACGGAGGCGCCCAAAGGUUCCCUCAGAAUGGUUGGAAAUCAUUCGCAGAGUGUAAAGGCACAAGGGAGCUUGACUGCGAGACCUACAAGUCGAGCAGGGACGAAAGUCGGGCUUAGUGAUCCGGUGGUUCCGCAUGGAAGGGCCAUCGCUCAACGGAUAAAAGCUACCCCGGGGAUAACAGGCUUAUCUCCCCCAAGAGUCCACAUCGACGGGGAGGUUUGGCACCUCGAUGUCGGCUCAUCGCAUCCUGGGGCUGUAGUCGGUCCCAAGGGUUGGGCUGUUCGCCCAUUAAAGCGGUACGCGAGCUGGGUUCAGAACGUCGUGAGACAGUUCGGUCCCUAUCCGUCGCGGGCGCAGGAAAUUUGAGAGGAGCUGUCCUUAGUACGAGAGGACCGGGAUGGACGCACCGCUGGUGUACCAGUUGUUCUGCCAAGGGCAUCGCUGGGUAGCUAUGUGCGGACGGGAUAAGUGCUGAAAGCAUCUAAGCAUGAAGCCCCCCUCAAGAUGAGAUUUCCCAUUCCGCAAGGAAGUAAGAUCCCUGAAAGAUGAUCAGGUUGAUAGGUCUGAGGUGGAAGCGUGGUGACACGUGGAGCUGACAGAUACUAAUAGAUCGAGGACUUAACCUAUA
rnacentral:rRNA from 1 species